rnacentral:lncRNA from 1 species
GGGCGGCUCGGCUCCGAGGUCACCGUCGUCGAGUUCGCCCCGGACAUCGUCCCUUCCAUGGACUCGGAAGUCCGGAAGCUCUUCCAGCGGGCCCUGGAGAAGCAGAAGAUGAAAUUCAUGCUCAAGACCAAGGUGGUCGGCGUGGACGCCUCCGGGCCCGGCGUGAAGCUGACCGUCGAGCCGGCGGCGGGCGGCCCGGCGACCACCCUCGAGGCCGACGUCGUCCUCGUCUCGGCCGGCCGGACUCCCUUCACCGCCGGCCUGGGCCUAGAGGCCCUGGGCGUGAACAUGGACAAGGCCGGCAGGAUCCUGGUGGACGAGGAGUUCAAGACCAACGUGCCCGGCGUGCGCGCCAUCGGCGACGUGAUCCCCGGGCCGAUGCUCGCCCACAAGGCGGAGGAGGACGGCGUCGCCUGCGUGGAGUUCAUCGCCGGCAAGCACGGGCACGUCGACUACGCGCUGGUGCCGGGCGUCGUCUACAC